AGAGUUUGAUCAUGGCUCAGAACGAACGCUGGCGGCGCGUUUUAAGCAUGCAAGUCGAGCGGUAAAGUACCUUCGGGUGCUUGAGAGCGGCGAACGGGUGAGUAACACGUAGGUGAUCUACCGCAGGGGUUGGGGAUAGCCCAUGGAAACAUGGGGUAAUACCGAAUACGACUCUCUGCCUGUGGGCGGAGAGGGAAAGGCGCUUCGGCGCCGCCCUGCGAUGAGCCUGCGGCUCAUUAGUUAGUUGGUGGGGUAACGGCCCACCAAGGCGACGAUGAGUAGCCGGCCUGAGAGGGUGAUCGGCCACACUGGGACUGAGAUACGGCCCAGACUCCUACGGGAGGCAGCAGCUAAGAAUCUUCCGCAAUGGGCGAAAGCCUGACGGAGCGACGCCGCGUGGGUGAAGAAGGCCGAGAGGUUGUAAAGCCCUUUUCUGCAUGAGGAAUAAGCGUGGGAGGGAAUGCCCGCGUGAUGACGGUAGUGCAGGAAUAAGCCCCGGCCAAUUACGUGCCAGCAGCCGCGGUAACACGUAUGGGGCGAGCGUUGUUCGGAAUCAUUGGGCGUAAAGGGCGCGCAGGCGGCUGCGCAAGCCUGGUGUGAAAGACCGCAGCUUAACUGCGGAUACGCGCUGGGAACUGUGUGGCUUGAGUUCCGGAGGGGAAGCUGGAAUUCCUGGUGUAGGGGUGAAAUCUGUAGAUAUCAGGAAGAACAUCAGCGGCGAAGGCGAGCUUCUGGCCGUGAACUGACGCUGAGGCGCGAAAGCGUGGGGAGCGAACAGGAUUAGAUACCCUGGUAGUCCACGCCGUAAACGUUGUGCACUAGGUGUUAGACCGCUUGAAGGUUUAGUGCCGUAGCUAACGCGUUAAGUGCACCGCCUGGGGAGUAUGCCCGCAAGGGUGAAACUCAAAGGAAUUGACGGGGGCCCGCACAAGCGGUGGAGCAUGUGGUUUAAUUCGAUGAUACGCGAGAAACCUUACCAGGGCUUGACAUCGACAGGAAGUCGCAGGAGACUGCGGCGCCCUUCGGGGCCUGUUGACAGGUGCUGCAUGGCUGUCGUCAGCUCGUGCCGUGAGGUGUUGGGUUAAGUCCCGCAACGAGCGCAACCCCUGUCGUCUGUUGCCAGCAUUUCGGAUGGGGACUCAGGCGAAACUGCCGGUGACAAACUGGAGGAAGGUGGGGACGACGUCAAGUCAUCAUGGCCCUUAUGUCCUGGGCUACACACGUGCUACAAUGGCCGGCACAGAGUGAAGCAAAACCGCGAGGUGGAGCAAAUCACAGAAAGCCGGUCUCAGUUCGGAUUGGAGUCUGAAACCCGACUCCAUGAAGCUGGAAUCGCUAGUAAUCGCACAUCAGCAUGGUGCGGUGAAUACGUUCCCGGGCCUUGUACACACCGCCCGUCACACCACCCGAGUUGGGGGUGCCCGAAGCCGCUAGCCCAACCGCAACAGCGGAGGGCGGCGUCGAAGGUACGCCUGGCAAGGGGGGUGAAGUCGUAACAAGGUAGCC
rnacentral:rRNA from 1 species